rnacentral:rRNA from 1 species
GACGAACGCUGGCGGCGUGCCUAAUACAUGCAAGUCGAACGCUUCUUUCCUCCCGAGUGCUUGCACUCAAUUGGAAAGAGGAGUGGCGGACGGGUGAGUAACACGUGGGUAACCUACCCAUCAGAGGGGGAUAACACUUGGAAACAGGUGCUAAUACCGCAUAACAGUUUAUGCCGCAUGGCAUAAGAGUGAAAGGCGCUUUCGGGUGUCGUUGAUGGAUGGACCCGCGGUGCAUUAGCUAGUUGGUGAGGUAACGGCUCACCAAGGCCACGAUGCAUAGCCGGCCUGAGAGGAUGAUCGGCCACACUGGGACUGAGACACGGCCCAGACUCCUACGGGAGGCAGCAGUAGGGAAUCUUCGGCAAUGGACGAAAGUCUGACCGAGCAACGCCGCGUGAGUGAAGAAGGUUUUCGGAUCGUAAAACUCUGUUGUUAGAGAAGAACAAGGACGUUAGUAACUGAACGUCCCCUGACGGUAUCUAACCAGAAAGCCACGGCUAACUACGUG